rnacentral:rRNA from 1 species
UAUACGGAUAAGGGACGUCCACUUAACUUGGAGUCCGAACUCUCACUUUCUAACCCUGUGCACUUGUUUGGGAUAGUAACUCUCGCAAGAGAGCGAACUCCUAUUCACUUAUAAACACAAAGUCUAUGAAUGUAUUAAAUUUUAUAACAAAAUAAAACUUUCAACAACGGAUCUCUUGGCUCUCGCAUCGAUGAAGAACGCAGCGAAAUGCGAUAAGUAAUGUGAAUUGCAGAAUUCAGUGAAUCAUCGAAUCUUUGAACGCACCUUGCGCUCCAUGGUAUUCCGUGGAGCAUGCCUGUUUGAGUGUCAUGAAUACUUCAACCCUCCUCUUUCUUAAUGAUUGAAGAGGUGUUUGGUUUCUGAGCGCUGCUGGCCUUUACGGUCUAGCUCGUUCGUAAUGCAUUAGCAUCCGCAAUCGAACUUCGGAUUGACUUGGCGUAAUAGACUAUUCGCUGAGGAAUUCUAGUCUUCGGAUUAGAGCCGGGUUGGGUUAAAGGAAGCUUCUAAUCAGAAUGUCUACAUUUUAAGAUUAGAUCUCAAAUCAGGUAGGACUACCCGCUGAACUUAAGCAUAUCAAAGCCCGGAAAGGAAA